rnacentral:rRNA from 1 species
GCCUUCUGGACAGUACUGACGCUGAGAUGCGAAAGCGUGGGGAGCAAACAGGAUUAGAUACCUGGUAGUCCACGCUGUAAACGAUGUCGAUUUGGAGUUUGUUGCCUAGAGUGAUGGGCUCCGAAGCUAACGCGAUAAAUCGACCGCCUGGGGAGUACGGCCGCAAGGUUAAAACUCAAAUGAAUUGACGGGGGCCCGCACAAGCGGUGGAGCAUGUGGUUUAAUUCGAUGCAACGCGAAGAACCUUACCUGGUCUUGACAUCCAUAGAAUUCUGCAGAGAUGUGGGAGUGCCUUCGGGAACUAUGAGACAGGUGCUGCAUGGCUGUCGUCAGCUCGUGUUGUGAAAUGUUGGGUUAAGUCCCGCAACGAGCGCAACCCUUAUUCUUUGUUGCCAGCGAUUUGGUCGGGAACUCAAAGGAGACUGCCGUUGAUAAAGCGGAGGAAGGUGGGGACGACGUCAAGUCAUCAUGGCCCUUACGACCAGGGCUACACACGUGCUACAAUGGCGUAUACAAAGGGAAGCGAAGGUGCGAGCUGGAGCGGAUCUCAUAAAGUACGUCUAAGUUCGGAUUGGAGUCUGCAACUCGACUCCAUGAAGUCGGAAUCGCUAGUAAUCGUAGAUCAGAAUGCUACGGUGAAUACGUUCCCGGGCCUUGUACACACCGCCCGUCACACCAUGGGAGUGGGUUGCACCAGAAGUAGAUAGCUUAACCGCGAGGGGGGCGUUUACCACGGUGUGAUUCAUGACUGGGGUGAAGUCGUAACAAGGUAACCA